UUGAAUGUGUUCAUGAUGUAAGCAUUUUUAACUGAUAAGCUAAAGUUUUAUCAUCCACACUUAAUGAGAAUCAACAUGGCCUGGGUUUGGCCUGCACAAAACAACUUAAAAGCAUCUUAAUACGAUCCCCUCUAGUUGAAUUUGUUGUUCUUAGUAUUUGUUUUAGCUGUUUCAAUUUGAUGCUUUAUGAACAUGGGGUUUGUUCUACCUUGAA
rnacentral:misc_RNA from 1 species